UACGUAGGGUGCAAGCGUUAAUCGGAAUUACUGGGCGUAAAGCGUGCGCAGGCGGUUGUGCAAGACAGAUGUGAAAUCCCCGGGCUUAACCUGGGAAUGGCAUUUGUGACUGUACGGCUAGAGUGUGUCAGAGGGGGGUAGAAUUCCACGUGUAGCGGUGAAAUGCGUAGAGAUGUGGAGGAACACCGAUGGCGAAGGCAGCCUCCUGGGCCAAUACUGACGCUCAUGCACGAAAGCGUGGGGAGCAAACAGG
rnacentral:rRNA from 1 species